AUAUAUAUAUAAUAUAUAUAUAUAUAUAUUCUCUAUUGUGUGAGAUUGUGAAGGGAUCUCGCAGGUAUCGUGAGGGAAGUAUGGGGUAGUACGAGAGGAACUCCCAUGCCGUGCCUCUGGUUUCUGGAGUUUGUCGAACGGCAAGUGCUCCGACGCUAUCGCACGGUGGUUCUCGGCUGAACGCCUCUAAGCCAGAAGCCAGUCCCAAGACCAGAUGCCCACUCAACAACAAAACGCGUGUAUGUAUUUUGUUGUGUUGUGUUGUUGUGCUUGCUUGAGUGUGUGUCAGUUAUAUAUAUAAUAAUAUAUAUAUAUAUAAUAUGUGCAGCUGUCUUUUUUGGGAAGAGUAGAGAAUAGAGGUUAGAAUAAAUAUAUAUAUGUGUAUAUAUAUACAUAUAUAUAUGUUAUUGUAUACUUCAGCGCGGCGGG
rnacentral:ncRNA from 1 species